rnacentral:lncRNA from 1 species
GGCGGCUGCCACCUUGCUGCGCGCGACGCCUCACUUCAGCGGUCUCGCUGCCGGCCGGACCUUCCUGCUGCAGGGUCUGCUGCUGCUGCUGAAAGCCCUGGCAUUGCCUCUCUUGUGCCACGGCCUGGCUGUGGGGGCCAAGAAGACUUAACGUGUGUGAGAAGCCACAUGUGAAUGUGGGUACCAUCGGCCAUGUGGACCAUGGCAAGACCAAACUGAUUGCAGCUAUCACAAAGAUUCUAGCCGAGGGAGGUGGGGCUAAGUUCAAGAAGUACAAGGAGAUUGACAAUGCCCCCAGAGGAGCAAGCUCCAGGUAUCACCAUCAGUGUGGCUCAUGUGGAGUAUAGCACUGUCGCCCACCACUAUGCCCACACAGACAGCCCGGGUCAUGCAGAUUAUGUUAAGUAUAUGAUCACGGGCACCACACCCCUUGACGGCUGCCUCCUGGUGGUAGCAGCCAAUGACAGCCCCAUGCCCUAGACCCGAGAGCACUUAUUACUGGCCAAAUAGAUUGGGGUGGAGCAUGUGGUGGUGUAUGUGAACAAGGCUGAUGCUGUCCAGGACUCUGAGAUGGUGGAGCUGGUGGAACUGGAGAUUCAGGAGCUGUUCACUGAGUUUGGCUAUAAAGGGGAGGAGACCCCAGUCAUUGUAGGCUCUACUGUCUGCCCUUGAGGGUCGGGACCCUGAGUUAGGUCUGAAGUCUGUGCAGAAGCUACUGGAUGCUGUGGACACUUACAUCCCAGUGCCUGCCCGUGACCUGGAGAAGCCUUUCCUGCUGACUGUAGAGGCAGUGUACUCCAUGUCUGGCCAUGGCACCAUGGUGACAGGUAUGCUAGAGCAUGACAUUUUAAAGAAAGGAGACAAGCGUGAGCUCCUAGGACAUAAUAAGAACAUCUGCACUGUGCUGACAGGCAUUGAGAUGUUCCACAAGAGCCUGGAGAGGGCCGAGGCUGGAGAUAACCUCAGGGCCCUGGUCCGAGGGAGGACUUGUGGCGGGGUCUGGUCAUGGUCAAGCCGGGUUCCAUCAAGCCCCACCAGAAGGUGGAGGCCCAGGUUUACAUCCUCAGCAAGGAGGAAGGUGGCCACCACAAGCCCUUUGUGUCCUACUUCAUGCCAGUCAUGUUCUCCCUGACUUGGGACAUGGCCUGUUGGAUUAUCCUGCCCCCAGAGAAGUAGCUUGCCAUGCCCGGGGAGAACCUGAAGUUCAACCUAAUCUUGCGGCAGCCAGUGAUCUUAGAGAAAGGCCAGUGCUUCACCCUGAGAGAUGGCAACUGGAUUAUUGGCACCGGUCUAGUCACCAACACGCUGGCCAUGACUGAGGAGGAGAAGAACAUCAAGUGGGGUUGA